rnacentral:lncRNA from 1 species
GCUGGUAUGCCUCAGGUUAUUUGGAUGAACAUGGCAGACACGCUUAAGGAAGCUUGAGCUGCUUCUGCUUCAUCUGCAGAAAGAAAAGCAGUCUUAUCUCCUUUAGAGAACAAGUGUAGGCAGCACUUCUGUGGAGCACUACAAGGCUGCAGAGCCAGUAAAACUCACUGAUGUCCCAGAACAUCAGCUCUGUAACAUGGAGUGAGACUUCUUCCGCUUGACUGCAAGAAAAAUAAGUCAGCCUCCAGUCUUCCUCCUAUCUCCAAACCAAAGCUUCUGCAAACUUGCUGCUUGCAGAGAAAGCCUGCGCAGUACCAAGGGCAGCACUGAGGCUGUGGCAUGGAAAUGUCAAAGUUUUCAAGUCCCUGAAAUGAGAGAGGCUGCAGGACUAAGCAGUGUGAAUUUCUCAGGCUACCUUUAGGUAU